rnacentral:tRNA from 3 species
GGCUCCGUAGCUCAAUUGGAUAGAGCAUCUGACUACGAAUCAGAAGGUUGCAGGUUCGAAUCCUGCCGAGGUCA